rnacentral:rRNA from 1 species
UACGUAGGUGGCGAGCGUUGUCCGGAAUCAUUGGGCGUAAAGAGCGCGUAGGUGGCUUGUCAGGUCUGGUGUGAAAUCCUGGGGCUCAACUCCAGGCGUGCAUCGGAAACCGGCUUGCUAGAGUCUGGGAGAGGAGAGCGGAAUUCCUGGUGUAGCGGUGAAAUGCGUAGAUAUCAGGAGGAACACCGGUAGCGAAGGCGGCUCUCUGGAACAGUACUGACACUGAGGCGCGAAAGCUAGGGGAGCGAACGGG